rnacentral:rRNA from 1 species
GUGGGGAAUUUUGGACAAUGGGCGCAAGCCUGAUCCAGCAAUGCCGCGUGCAGGAAGAAGGCCUUCGGGUUGUAAACUGCUUUUGUACGGAACGAAACGGCUCUGGUUAAUACCCGGGGCUAAUGACGGUACCGUAAGAAUAAGCACCGGCUAACUACGUGCCAGCAGCCGCGGUAAUACGUAGGGUGCAAGCGUUAAUCGGAAUUACUGGGCGUAAAGCGUGCGCAGGCGGUUGUGUAAGACAGGCGUGAAAUCCCCGGGCUCAACCUGGGAAUUGCGCUUGUGACUGCACAGCUGGAGUGCGGCAGAGGGGGAUGGAAUUCCGCGUGUAGCAGUGAAAUGCGUAGAUAUGCGGAGGAACACCGAUGGCGAAGGCAAUCCCCUGGGCCUGCACUGACGCUCAUGCACGAAAGCGUGGGGAGCAAACAGGAUUAGAAACCCCAGUAGUCC